rnacentral:rRNA from 1 species
CAAGUCGAACGGAAAGGCCCUGCUUUUGUGGGGUGCUCGAGUGGCGAACGGGUGAGUAACACGUGAGUAACCUGCCCUUGACUUUGGGAUAACUUCAGGAAACUGGGGCUAAUACCGGAUAGGAGCUCCUGCUGCAUGGUGGGGGUUGGAAAGUUUCGGCGGUUGGGGAUGGACUCGCGGCUUAUCAGCUUGUUGGUGGGGUAGUGGCUUACCAAGGCUUUGACGGGUAGCCGGCCUGAGAGGGUGACCGGCCACAUUGGGACUGAGAUACGGCCCAGACUCCUACGGGAGGCAGCAGUGGGGAAUAUUGCACAAUGGGCGGAAGCCUGAUGCAGCAACGCCGCGUGCGGGAUGACGGCCUUCGGGUUGUAAACCGCUUUCGCCUGUGACGAAGCGUGAGUGACGGUAAUGGGUAAAGAAGCACCGGCUAACUACGUGCCAGCAGCCGCGGUGAUACGUAGGGUGCGAGCGUUGUCCGGAUUUAUUGGGCGUAAAGGGCUCGUAGGUGGUUGAUCGCGUCGGAAGUGUAAUCUUGGGGCUUAACCCUGAGCGUGCUUUCGAUACGGGUUGACUUGAGGAAGGUAGGGGAGAAUGGAAUUCCUGGUGGAGCGGUGGAAUGCGCAGAUAUCAGGAGGAACACCAGUGGCGAAGGCGGUUCUCUGGGCCUUUCCUGACGCUGAGGAGCGAAAGCGUGGGGAGCGAACAGGCUUAGAUACCCUGGUAGUCCACGCUGUAAACGGUGGGUACUAGGUGUGGGGUCCAUUCCACGGGUUCCGUGCCGUAGCUAACGCUUUAAGUACCCCGCCUGGGGAGUACGGCCGCAAGGCUAAAACUCAAAGGAAUUGACGGGGCCCCGCACAAGCGGCGGAGCAUGCGGAUUAAUUCGAUGCAACGCGUAGAACCUUACCUGGGUUUGACAUGGAUCGGGAGUGCUCAGAGAUGGGUGUGCCUCUUUUGGGGUCGGUUCACAGGUGGUGCAUGGCUGUCGUCAGCUCGUGUCGUGAGAUGUUGGGUUAAGUCCCGCAACGAGCGCAACCCUUGUUCACUGUUGCCAGCACGUUAUGGUGGGGACUCAGUGGAGACCGCCGGGGUCAACUCGGAGGAAGGUGGGGAUGACGUCAAGUCAUCAUGCCCCUUAUGUCCAGGGCUUCACGCAUGCUACAAUGGCUGGUACAGAGAGUGGCGAGCCUGUGAGGGUGAGCGAAUCUCGGAAAGCCGGUCUCAGUUCGGAUUGGGGUCUGCAACUCGACCUCAUGAAGUCGGAGUCGCUAGUAAUCGCAGAUCAGCAACGCUGCGGUGAAUACGUUCCCGGGGCUUGUACACACCGCCCGUCAAGUCAUGAAAGUUGGUAACACCCGAAGCCGGUGGCCUAACCGUUGUGGGGGAGCCGUCGAAGGUGGGACUGGUGAUUAGGACUAAGUCG